ensembl:rRNA 5S_rRNA 5S ribosomal RNA
GUGUACGGCCAUACCACCCUGAACGUGCCCGAUCUUGUCUGAUCUCAGAAGCUGGCCUGGUUAAUUCUUGGAUGGGAGACCACCUGUGAAUACCGGGUGCUGUAGGCU